GUGGAAAUCCCACACAUAUGGAGGCUCAGUGAAAAACACACACAGUUUGAAGUUUAAUUGAGCUCAUUAAUACUCUUUAGCAAGUUCAGUGCUUCCAGCUGUUUACAGAACAAGGGCUCAGAUUAACCAAAGAGUUAAACAUCAACUAAACAAUUCAUGCUUUACCAGAGAAUUAAGUGUUAUUGGAGUGAAAAUGUCUUUUACUAGCUGAAUCUGGAAGCAAACAGUACUACAGUGACAGGUUAUAUAUAGUCAGGCUUUGUACUGCACAGUACUGGAGAUCAAAAUUACGUUGUACCUAUUUAUACUACACCUCUAGUAAUGUUGUUAUUAAUAGGCACAUAUUUCCCAAAUAACAAUUCAUAAAUUGUAUUACCCUUGCAAGACCUGUUUAUGUUUGGUCAAUCUUUUAUCAUUAUCUUGUUCCAGUUUCACAAAUGGGGGUUACAUUAGGAACACUUUGAAAUAAAGUAGCCUGAAAUUUUCAUCCUUUAAAAAAGGUCCAGUUCUUUGGAUUGUAACUCAGCUGAACCCUCUGACUGAUAUUACACAAAAUCAGGAGUGAAAGAAAUGCAUAGUUAAAAUUCAUUGUGUUUCAGUGUUCAUCUGCAUUUAUCUGGGGUCACCAUGAUAACAUAACAGGGACUCAGACAUAGAAAAAGGAACCUAAAGUGGUUGAAGAGGAACAGAUGAGCCAGAGGAAUACAGAGACACUGUCUGAGUAUGAAGGGAUGGUGCUAAGAAAGCCAAAGCACACCUGAAGCUGACUCUGGCAGAGGACAUAAAGGACAAGAAGAAAGGUUUCUAUGGGUACAUCAGAAGAUAAAGGAAGACUGGAGAAAAUGUAGGCCAGCUGCUGAGUGGAGCAGGGACCUGGGACAACGACAUGGAAGAGGCCAAGGUAUUCAAUGCUUUCUUCCCCUCAGUCUUUAUUAGCAAGAUAGGCCUUCAGGCAUGCCAGGCCCCUGAGAUCAGUGAAAGUCUAGAGAAAGGAAAACCUACCCUAUCUGGAGGACAUUCAGGUUAAGAAACAUCUAAACAGAUUGAACACAUGUAAGUCCAUGAGACCUGAUGAGAUGUGCCAGUGCAUGGUGAGGUAUCCAGCUGACAUCACAAGGACACUUUGAAAAGUUGUUGUGACUGGGAGAGUUCAUGUGGACUAGAAGAAGGCAGGUGUCACUCUAAUAUUGAGGAAGUCCAGGAAAGAGGAUAAGGGGAACUACAGGUCAGUCAGCCUUACAUUGGUCCAUGGAAGGGUAAUGGAGCAAAUAAUCCUGGAAACCAUUCCCAAACAUAUUAAGGAUUAAAAGGUGAUUCAGAGUAGUCAGCAUGUAUUUUUGAAGGAGAAAUCAUGCUUGACCAAUCUGAUAGCUUUCUACAAUGAGGUGACUGGCUUGGUGGAUGAGGAGGAAGCAGUAGAUAUUUACCUUGACUCUGGCAAGACUUAUGACCCUGGCAUCCACACAGACAGAGCAAUGAAAUACCAGCUAUAUUAACGGACACUGAGGUGGACUGAAAAGUGGCUGAAUUGUCCAUGUUACAAGGACUGUAAUUAGUGACACAUACUUCAGCUGAGGCCAGUCACUGCUGGUGACCCUUCAGGGCUGAUAGUGAGGCCACUCCUGCUUAAUAUAUUUGUUAAUGACCUGGAUGAUAGGGUAGAACACAACCUCUGCAGAACUGGGAGGAGAGAUUUAUACACCAGGGCGGUGUGCUGCCUUUCAAAGGUACCUGGACAGGAUGGAGAAAUGGGGUGACGUGAACCUCAUGAAGUUCAUCAAAAGUCCCUGCACCUGGGAAGUGUGUAGACCACAAGUGGCAGGGUCUCGGCAACAGGAGGUUGCAGGGGUGGCUGGUGCAGGAGUGAGCCAGCACUGCUCUGUGCCAGUCACAGCCAGUUGGAACCUAGAGCACCUGGCAUGCACCAAGGCCUUGGGCAUGCAGAGGAUCCCAGGGGAUCCAGGGGGCAUUUAGGAAACCAGCAGCCACAAUGGUGAGGUGGGAGUGAGCCAUACAUACAUGCACCCCUGAAGGUCUAAGGCCAGAGUAAAUAAAUAAAUAACAGUAUAAAGCAAGGUGGAGCAAACAGGAACAUAAACACUGAGUGUCAAACAAAAACCCUUAUGUGAAUGACCCCAAAAAGCAGCAAACAUAGAGAACGCUGAGGCUAGGAAGAAAGAUGCUUGCCUACAUUUGUUUCUUCCAUUUUCUAUGUUAUCUUUUUAUCAAUACCAAAUAAAAGAUUAGGAGUUUGUGUUAAUUAGCAAAAAGUUAAAUUAAGAAAAUAUUCACCACAGUAAGGCUGUUUUGCCAGAGGCAGGGAUAAGCAGACUAUCAGAAAAUGAUCUGUGGCUCCUUGAGGACAACAAGGUGGCCAUGAACUAGCAAUUUACCCUUGCAGCAAAGAAGGCCAAGCAUUGGGUCUGCAUUAGAAAAGUGUUGCCAGCAGGCUGAGGAGGAUGAUCCUUCUCUUCUACUUAACACUGCUGAGACACAUCUGGAUUACUGGAACCAGUCCUGUGCGCCCUGGUAUGUGACAUACUGGAGUGGGUCCAGCAGAGGGCUAGAAGAUGAUUAAGGGAUUGAAGGAUCUCUCAUAUGAGGAGAGGGUGAGACACCCAGGACUGUUCAGUUUGGAGAAAAGAAGCCUAUUGAGAAUCUUAUAAAUGGGUACAAUUACCUGUUUGGGGGAGUGGAUAAAGAUGACUGAGCCAGACUCUUCUUAGUGGUGUCCAGCUGCAGGACAAGAGGCAGCAGACACAUACUGAAACACAGGAAAUUCUAUUUAAAUAUAAGAAAAUAUAUUUUUUAUUUUAUUUAUUUUAUUUUAUUAAUUUAUUUAUUUAUUUAGUGUGGGAGUAGUCAAAUAUAGGGACUGGUGGGCCAGAGAGGCUGUGGCAUCUCCAUCCUUGGACACAUUCAAAACUUGACUGGCUAUAUCUAUGAGAAACUGGUUCCAGAUGUCUCUGCUCUGAGGCAGGGGUACCAGACAAGCUGAUCUAGAGGUAUCGUCAGUGAUUCUAUGUAUUUGUUAUUCAUUCGCACCCAUCACAAUCUAGAUAUAUUUCAACUACCACAAUAGAAGAUAUGGCUAGAUGAAUAAUUUGUCAACACUAUAAGAUCUAUUAUAAAGCCACUGUGGAUGAUUUUCUAGUAACAGUUGAAGGGUCCUAUGUGAACAAACAGGAAAUCCUCACCAAACUGUGUGCCUGCUACAGCUGCCAGAUUUGAUCGCUGCAAGGAAUAAAGAAGGAAAACAAACAAACAACAAACAAACAAACAAACUUUUAGGUAUUUCCCUACAGUACCACACAUGUCUGAAGCAACUUUGGUCCAACACUCGCAGAAUGGGGCAGUCAGCAGCAGCCACUGUAACAGAAGCUACACUGCUCUUAUCUCACUAACUCCAUUUUAAGAAAAGCAAGUUGAGAAAGUGUCAUGCAACAACUUGGUGUCAUAAUAGGUAAGACUGAAGCAGUAUCAGUCUAUAGUGAAUGGUGCAUCAAAACAGUGUCUCCAAGAAGCACUUUCUAAGACACUGUUGAGUCAAUUAGAUAUCAAAACUGACAUCUGAAACAUGAACAGGUAUAUGAGGAUGAUUUUGUUUGCUGAGAAAACAAAUGCGUCUGAUUAAGAACUGGUUAUUGCACACACUGAAAAAUCUACUACUUAUCACAGAGGCUAGAUGAAUCAUUGCAAAUCAUACUGAAAUUUUUUAAAGAACAGUGUUUAAGUGCCAUGUGCAGUUGCUCACAUAUCACAAAAGCAGUCAAGUAAUAAAUAAGUAAGACAAAUCACGAACUAAGAAUUAAAAAGAGUUGUUAUCCUGGUGUGCAAGUGACUUUGCAAAAAUGUUCCUUCAAGAUGGGAAAAAACAUAUUUCUUGAUUACACCUGCACUAAUCAAAUAAAAUACUUUGUACCAGCAACAAA